rnacentral:rRNA from 1 species
AGUGAACGCUGGCGGUAGGCCUAACACAUGCAAGUCGAACGGCAGCACAGGAGAGCUUGCUCUCUGGGUGGCGAGUGUCGGACGGGUGAGGAAUACAUCGGAAUCUACUCUGUCGUGGGGGAUAACGUAGGGAAACUUACGCUAAUACCGCAUACGACCUACGGGUGAAAGCAGGGGACCUUCGGGCCUUGCGCGAUUGAAUGAGCCGAUGUCGGAUUAGCUAGUUGGCGGGGUAAAGGCCCACCAAGGCGACGAUCCGUAGCUGGUCUGAGAGGAUGAUCAGCCACUCAGGAAGUGAGGCGCGGUCUGGACUCCUACGGGAAGCAGCAGUGUGGUAUAUUGUACUAUGGGCGCAAGCCUGAUCCAGCCAUUCCGUGAGGGUGAAGAAGGCGUUCGGGUUGUAAAGCCUUUUUGUUGGGAAAGAAAUCCAGCUGGCUAAUACCCGGUUGGGAUGACGGUACCCAAAGAAUAAGCACCGGCUAACUUCGUGCCAGCCGCCGCAGUAA